rnacentral:rRNA from 1 species
GCACCUACGGGAGGUAGCAGUGGGGAAUAUUGCACAAUGGGGGAAACCCUGAUGCAGCAACGCCGCGUGAGUGAAGAAGUAUUUCGGUAUGUAAAGCUCUAUCAGCAGGGAAGAAGAUGACGGUACCUGACCAAGGAGCCCCGGCUAACUACGUGCCAGCAGCCGCGGUAAUACGUAGGGGGCAAGCGUUAUCCGGAUUUACUGGGUGUAAAGGGAGCGUAGGCGGUGAUGCAAGUCAGAAGUGAAAGCCCGCAGCUCAACUGCGGGACUGCUUUUGAAACUGUAUGACUAGAUUGCAGGGGAGG